UACGAAGGGGGCGAGCGUUGUUCGGAUUUACUGGGCGUAAAGGGCGCGCAGGCGGCUUUGUUUGUCAGGCGUGAAAGCCCCGGGCUUAACCUGGGAACUGCGUUUGAUACGGCAGGGCUAGAGUUCGGGAGAGGAGAGUGGAAUUCCCAGUGUAGAGGUGAAAUUCGUAGAUAUCAGGAGGAACACCGAUUGCGAAGGCAGCUCGCUGGGACGUUACUGACGCUGAGA
rnacentral:rRNA from 1 species